CCUGCGGAGGGAUCAUUACCGAGUUUACAACUCCCAAACCCCUGUGACAUACCACUUGUUGCCUCGGCGGAUCAGCCCGCUCCCGGUAAAACGGGACGGCCCGCCAGAGGACCCCUAAACUCUGUUUCUAUAUGUAACUUCUGAGUAAAACCAUAAAUAAAUCAAAACUUUCAACAACGGAUCUCUUGGUUCUGGCAUCGAUGAAGAACGCAGCAAAAUGCGAUAAGUAAUGUGAAUUGCAGAAUUCAGUGAAUCAUCGAAUCUUUGAACGCACAUUGCGCCCGCCAGUAUUCUGGCGGGCAUGCCUGUUCGAGCGUCAUUUCAACCCUCAAGCACAGCUUGGUGUUGGGACUCGCGUUAAUUCGCGUUCCUCAAAUUGAUUGGCGGUCACGUCGAGCUUCCAUAGCGUAGUAGUAAAACCCUCGUUACUGGUAAUCGUCGCGGCCACGCCGUUAAACCCCAACUUCUGAAUGUUGACCUCGGAUCAGGUAGGAAUACCCGCUGAACUUAAGCAUAUC
rnacentral:rRNA from 1 species